rnacentral:rRNA from 1 species
AGAGUUUGAUCAUGGCUCAGGACGAACGCUGGCGGCGUGCAUAACACAUGCAAGUCACGGGGGCCAGCAAUGGCAACCGGCGAACGGGUGCGUAACACGUAAGCGACCUACCUCGAUGUGGGGCAUAGCCGGCCUAACGGCCGGGUAAUUCCGCAUGUGAUCCUUGGGGGGCAUAUCCCGGGGAUGAAACCAGUAAUGGGCAUUGAGAGGGGCUUGCGGCCUAUCAGCUUGUUGGCGAGGUAACGGCUCACCAAGGCGACGACGGGUAGCUGGUCUGAGAGGAUGGCCAGCCACAUUGGGACUGAGAAACGGCCCAGACUCCUACGGGAGGCAGCAGUGGGGAAUCUUGCGCAAUGGCCUAACGGCUGACGCAGCGACGCCGCGUGAGGGAUGAAGCUCCUCGGAGUGUAAACCUCUGUUGCCCGGGACGAAUAGCGGAUUUUUCCGACUUGACGGUACCGGGUGAGGAAGCACCGGCUAACUCCGUGCCAGCAGCCGCGGUAAUACGGGGGGUGCGAGCGUUGUCCGGAAUCACUGGGCGUAAAGGGCGCGUAGGUGGCUUUGUAAGUUUGCGGUGAAAGCCCGGGGCUCAACCCCGGGUCUGCCGUGGAUACUGCAAGGCUUGAGUACUGUAGAGGCAGGUAGAAUAUCGGGUGUAGCGGUGGAAUGCGUAGAGAUCCGAUAGAAGACCGGUGGCGAAGGCGGCCUGCUGGGCAGUAACUGACACUGAGGCGCGACAGCGUGGGGAGCAAACAGGAUUAGAUACCCUGGUAGUCCACGCCGUAAACGAUGGGUACUAGGUGCUUCGGGGAGCGACCCCUGGAGUGCCGGCGCUAACGCAGGAAGUACCCCGCCUGGGGAGUACGGCCGCAAGGCUGAACUCAAAGGAAUUGACGGGGGCCCGCACAAGCGGUGGAGCAUGGUGGUUUAAUUCGACGCAACG